AUUGAACGCUGGCGGCAGGCCUAACACAUGCAAGUCGAGCGAGCGGCGGACGGGUGAGUAAUGUCUGCGAAACUCCCUGCUGGAGGUGGAUAUCUCCUGGAAACGGUAUCUCAUACCGCAUACCCUCAGAUGUGCCCCGCGGGGCUUAGCUGGUAGGUGUGGUAACGGCUCACCUAGGCGACGAGCUCUAGCUGGUCUGAGAGGAUGACCAGCCACACUGGAACUGAGACACGGUCCAGACUCCUACGGGAGGCAGCAGUGGGGAAUAUUGCACAAUGGGCGCAAGCCUGAUGCAGCCAUGCCGCGUGUGUGAAGAAGGCCUUCGGGUUGUAAAGCACUUUCAGCGGGGAGGCGUUACCCGCAGAAGAAGCACCGGCUAACUCCGUGCCAGCAGCCGCGGUAAUAC
rnacentral:rRNA from 1 species